CUACACAUGCAGUCGAGCGUGAAAGGGCUUCGGCCUGAGUAAGCGGCGGACGGGUGAGUAACGCGUAGGAAUCUACCUGGUAGUGGGGGAUAACGUUCCGAAAGGAACGCUAAUACCGCAUACGUUCUGAGGAAGAAAGUGGGGGCUCGCAAGACCCCACGCUAUCAGAUGAGCCUGCGUCCGAUUAGCUAGUUGGUGGGGUAAAGGCCUACCAAGGCGACGAUCGGUAACUGGUCUGAGAGGAUGAUCAGUCACACUGGAACUGAGACACGGUCCAGACUCCUACGGGAGGCAGCAGUGGGGAAUAUUGGACAAUGGGGGCAACCCUGAUCCAGCCAUGCCGCGUGUGUGAAGAAGGCCUUCGGGUUGUAAAGCACUUUAAGCGGGGAGGAAGGCUCGAUGGCUAAUACCCAUCGGGAUUGACGUUACCCGCAGAAUAAGCACCGGCAAACUUCGUGCCAGCAGCCGCGGUAAUACGAAGGGUGCGAGCGUUAAUCGGAAUUACUGGGCGUAAAGCGCGCGUAGGUGGUUUGGUAAGCGAUAUGUGAAAUCCCCGGGCUUAACCUGGGAACUGCGUGUCGAACUGCCAGGCUAGAGUAUGGUAGAGGGGUGUGGAAUU
rnacentral:rRNA from 1 species